GAAGCUUGCUUCCUAUGAAAUCGAGUGGCAAACGGGUGAGUAACGCGUAAACAACCUGCCCUUCGGAUGGGGAUAACAGCCGGAAACGGCUGCUAAUACCGAAUACGAUCUUUACGUCGCAUGACGAAAAGAAGAAAGGAUGGCCUCUAUACGAAGCUAUCGCCGAAGGAGGGGUUUGCGUCUGAUUAGCUGGUUGGAGGGGUAACGGCCCAACAAGGCGAUGAUCAGUAGCCGGUCUGAGAGGAUGAACGGCCACAUUGGGACUGAGACACGGCCCAGACUCCUACGGGAGGCAGCAGUGGGGAAUCUUCCGCAAUGGACGAAAGUCUGACGGAGCAACGCCGCGUGAGUGAAGAAGGUCUUCGGAUUGUAAAGCUCUGUUAUACGGGACGAAAAAGACGGAUGCCAACAGUAUCCGUCCGUGACGGUACCGUAAGAGAAAGCCACGGCUAACUACGUGCCAGCAGCCGCGGUAAUACGUAGGUGGCAAGCGUUGUCCGGAAUUAUUGGGCGUAAAGGGCGCGCAGGCGGUUCGGUAAGUCUGUCUUAAAAGUGCGGGGCUUAACCCCGUGAGGGGACGGAAACUGUCGAACUUGAGUGUCGGAGAGGAAAGCGGAAUUCCUAGUGUAGCGGUGAAAUGCGUAGAUAUUAGGAGGAACACCGGUGGCGAAAGCGGCUUUCUGGAC
rnacentral:rRNA from 1 species